AUACGUAGGUGGCAAGCGUUGUCCGGAAUUAUUGGGCGUAAAGCGCGCGCAGGCGGUCCUUUAAGUCUGAUGUGAAAGCCCACGGCUCAACCGUGGAGGGUCAUUGGAAACUGGGGGACUUGAGUGCAGAAGAGGAAAGUGGAAUUCCAAGUGUAGCGGUGAAAUGCGUAGAGAUUUGGAGGAACACCAGUGGCGAAGGCGACUUUCUGGUCUUUAACUGACGCUGAGGCGCGAAAGCGUGGGGAGCAAACAGGAUUAGAUACCCGGGUAGUCCACGCCGUAAACGAUGAGUGCUAAGUGUUAGGGGGUUUCCGCCCCUUAGUGCUGCAGCUAACGCAUUAAGCACUCCGCCUGGGGAGUACGGUCGCAAGACUGAAACUCAAAGGAAUUGACGGGG
rnacentral:rRNA from 1 species